rnacentral:rRNA from 1 species
UGGGGAAUUUUGGACAAUGGGCGAAAGCCUGAUCCAGCAAUGCCGCGUGUGUGAAGAAGGCCUUCGGGUUGUAAAGCACUUUUGUCCGGAAAGAAAUCCUUGGCUCUAAUACAGUCGGGGGAUGACGGUACCGGAAGAAUAAGCACCGGCUAACUACGUGCCAGCAGCCGCGGUAAUACGUAGGGUGCAAGCGUUAAUCGGAAUUACUGGGCGUAAAGCGUGCGCAGGCGGUUUGCUAAGACCGAUGUGAAAUCCCCGGGCUCAACCUGGGAACUGCAUUGGUGACUGGCAGGCUAGAGUAUGGCAGAGGGGGGUAGAAUUCCACGUGUAGCAGUGAAAUGCGUAGAGAUGUGGAGGAAUACCGAUGGCGAAGGCAGCCCCCUGGGCCAAUACUGACGCUCAUGCACGAAAGCGUGGGGAGCAAAACAGGAUUAGAUACCCUGGUAGUCCACGCCCUAAACGAUGUCAACUAGUUGUUGGGGAUUCAUUUCCUUAGUAACGUAGCUAACGCGUGAAGUUGACCGCCUGGGGAGCACGGUCGCAAGAUUAAAACUCAAAGGAAUUGACGGGGUCAUAGCUGUUUCC